AUUGAACGCUGGCGGCAGGCCUAACACAUGCAAGUCGAGCGAGCGGCGGACGGGUGAGUAAUGUAUGGGGACUGCCCGAUAGAGGGGGAUAACUACUGGAAACGGUGGCUAAUACCGCAUACUAUCGGAUAACCCAUAUGGUAUUAUCUAGUAGGUGGGGUAAAGGCUCACCUAGGCGACGAGCUCUAGCUGGUCUGAGAGGAUGAUCAGCCCCACUGGGACGGAGCCACGGCCCAGACUCCUACGGAGGCAGCAGUGGGGAAUAUUGCACAAGGGGCGCAAGCCUGAUGAAGCCAAGCCGCGUGGAUGAAGAAGGCCUUAGGGUUGUAGAGUACUUUCAGCGGGGAGGCGGUACCCGCAGAAGAAGCACCGGCUAACUCCGUGCCAGCAGCCGCGGUAAUAC
rnacentral:rRNA from 1 species